UUCUUUCACUGUCGGUAAGUCACAACUAUCGGUGUAAGAAUCCAAGUUAAUCGUCUUGUUUUUGAGUUAAUCGAACUAAUCUUUAACAUUUUCCUUUCAGUUUUCAGCCUCCUCUUCUCGACAUGAGAGCUAAGUGGAGAAAGAAGCGCAUGCGCAGACUGAAGCGUAAAAGGAGGAAGAUGAGGCAGAGGUCCAAGUAGACCGUCCUCCCCGCCAUGGCUGUGACAGCACAUGUUGCCUACAACCAGACCGGUGAGGCUGGCUCAAGAUCCAGGACUCUCCAGGUGUCAAGUCUGUCAGUGGCACCCAUAUCAACGUGAGGCAGCAGAGCUGCAGCGGCUGACUUGUGUUGGAGAGCUGAUUCAAGGCCUGCUGGAUGACAGGCUUUUCCUCGGACAUUCUGGACUUUGUUGUUAAUUCCUCAACUUUUGACCUUUUUUGUUUAAACUGUGAUUAAAGGUUUUGGUUUCUAAA